rnacentral:lncRNA from 1 species
GCGUAAACAAAUUUUCCGCGUUUUGUUCCCUUGACGACCCAAUAAAUAUUAUUGUUAAAAAUAUCGAAUGUUUGAUCGGCGGCACAUAAUAUUAAUAAACGAUUUUUAUGUAGAUACACAUAUGAUUGACUUUUUUACCUAUACUAGACUUUUUCGGAAUCAAAAUAUGAAAUCGAUAAAAUGUCUCUACCAUAUAGGCCAUUAAACGGUGUAGAAUGAACGAUUAAUAUUCUGAGUUAAUUAAUUUUUUUUUUUUUAAUUCCACCCGGAUUAAUGAUUAGGUAUAGCCGAACUGCAGUUCGAUCUAACACGAGUAAUGGCCGUCAAGAUCGGAUGGCCUCGGAUCGUCAAGAAAGGCGUUUCAACUAAAACGUUUUCAAAAAUUUAAUAUCGAUUCAAACAUUUUAUAAACACUAAUUUUCCUUCCUACUGAAAAUUUAAUAAUUGACAUGGUUGAAUAACGCCCAUGAGCAGCAAAACUCCGCCACUAAAGCCACUUAUCCCCGUUACAUAAUAAUGUAAUUUCUUUUCAUAAGGAUUCAGGUACUUAGGUCCGCAAUAGUUUUAUUAUAUAUUAGUCUGAAAGGGUAUGAAAAGUCAAGUAUUUUCUGUGAGAACAUGCAAUUUUUCUCUUCAACUACCGCUUGUCUGUUUUUUAUCCGUUGUUCCUACUGUUUAGAAGGUCUUUAGAUGAAGGUACGUUACCUAAAAUCUGAAAAAUCUGUUCUGUAACAUCUAUUUUGAAACCCGGUGAUAAUUCUGAUAUCACUUAUUAUAGAUAGAUAUCCAUAAUCUCAUAAAAUGCCAAGAUAUUUGUAUCUGUCCUCUAUCAGAGCAUUAUACGUAGCCUUUAUCAUAUAUUGAUUGAUGAGCAGCAUGGAUUCAGGCCAGGUAAAUCUACUUGCAUUAAUAGUGUUUCCUUUAUAUCUUACAUUGUUGAAAAUAUCCAGUUUGGUUCUCAAAUAGACGUUAUAAUCGCCGAUUUCAAAAAGACAUUUGAUACGGUCAACCACGAGCUACUUAUUUAUGAAUGAGAGCGUCUUGGGUACCCAUGAAAAUGAAAAUGCUUAUGCAUAUCACGAGGAUAGAGGGAUCAACAAAAACUGUAAUGAAAUAAACGUAGGAGGAAUGAGAAAAAUAAAAAAAACCUAAAAAAAAGACGGUUGGGUAUGUUUGAGAAAUAUAUGGGGACACCUAAGGACAGUCUGUGUUUGCGAGGUGAAAUAUCGGGUCAAGUAGAAGUUUAGAACGAUGGACACCAAAUAGUUGAAAUGAAGACGAAGACUUGAAGAAGAAUGAUUAAUGGUUGUUUUCAGUAUACUAUGUACUUAAUUACCAUCUGUCCCAAUUAGCGUCUCAAAUUCCCAUCUAUAAGAGUUGACUUUACCGUGGUGCGAAGUAUGUAAACAAAAAUAAUAAUAAUAAAAUAUUAUGACGAAGUACGGUCAAUUUUGAAUAUCUCGGACUCUUUAGAUAUUUUCAGGAUGCGCAUUUUAUAUCAGUUACAGUGUAAAGUAUAAUGAUCAAACAAAAUUUUUAGUAUUCGGUUCAACGCGUCAAUUGUUAUUAUCGGCAUCUCGUCAUAUAUAAUAUUAUUUAAUAUCCUUUAGAAAAAAUAACGAUAGGUUAGACGUCAAAGAUAGCUGCAUAGUUUAGAUAGUAUGCGAUUAAGG